UACGGGGGGGGCAAGCGUUGUUCGGAAUUACUGGGCGUAAAGGGCUCGUAGGCGGCCAACUAAGUCGGACGUGAAAUCCCUCGGCUUAACCGGGGAACUGCGUCCGAUACUGGAUGGCUUGAGGUUGGGAGAGGGAUGCGGAAUUCCAGGUGUAGCGGUGAAAUGCGUAGAUAUCUGGAGGAACACCGGUGGCGAAGGCGGCAUCCUGGACCGGCAUUGACGCUGAGGCGCGAAAGCCAGGGGAGCAAACGGG
rnacentral:rRNA from 1 species